rnacentral:rRNA from 1 species
GACAGAGGUGCCGAGCGUUAGGCGGAAUCACUGGGCUUAAAGCGUGUGUAGGCGGGUCGUUAAGUGUCUUGUGAAAUCCCACCGCUCAACGGUGGAACUGCUGGGCAUACUGGCGAUCUUGAGCCACCUAGGGGCAGACGGAACAAGCGGUGGAGCGGUGAAAUGCGUAGAUAUCGCUUGGAACGCCGACGGUGAAACAGUCUGCUGGGGUGUGCUGACGCUGAGACACGAAAGCCAGGGGAGCAAACGGG